rnacentral:rRNA from 1 species
CCCUUAGACGUUCUGGGCCGCACGCGCGCUACACUGACCGGUGCAACAAGCAUCCGUCCUUGGCCGACAGGCCCGGGCAAUCUUUGAACGCCGGUCGUGAUGGGGAUAGACUUUUGCAAUUUUUGGUCUUCAACGAGGAAUUCCUAGUAAACGCAAGUCAUCAACUUGCAUUGAUUACGUCCCUGCCCUUUGUACACACCGCCCGUCGCACCUACCGAUUGAAUGGUCCGGUGAAGCCUCCGGAUUGGCGCGCACCUCGGUGCCGCCGAGAAGUUGGCUAAACCUUACCAUUUAGAGGAAGGUGAAGUCGUANCA